rnacentral:rRNA from 1 species
ACGCUCGACACCUACUGGAGGCAGCAGUCGGGAAUAUUGCGCAAUGGAGGAAACUCUGACGCAGUGACGCCGCGUAUGGGAAGAAGGUUUUCGGAUUGUAAACCAUUUUAGACAGGGAAGAAAAAAGACAGUACCUGUAAAAUAAGCUCCGGCUAACUACGUGCUAGCAGCCGCGGUAAUCUGAGCGGGCUGGCAAGGC